UCAUUAAGUUACUUAAGUGCAAGUAUUGGUCUCUUAAACCAAAUUAUAGUAUUAUAGCAUAUACUCUUAAUGAA
rnacentral:tRNA from 1 species